GUGGGAUGUCCCCAGAGUGUGACCGAGAGCAAACCUUUCUUGUUUUUCUUUUAUAUUGACGACGCUAUUGUCCGGUUGAAAUAUUAUCGAUUAUUUAGGCUAAAAACAACCUGAGGUUUGAUUGUAAACAUCGUUUGACAUGUUUCUAUGAACUUUACAGAUACUAUUUGGAAUUUUUGACUGCCUGUUGUGACUGCAUUUGAGCCAUUGGAUUACUGAACAAAACGCACCAACAAAAUGGAGGUUAUUGGAUUUAUAGAGGGACUUUAUUGAACAAAACAAACAUUUAUUGUGUAACUGGGAGUCUUGUGAGUGCAACCAUACGAAGAUCAUCAAAGUGUGUCUUUUUAUGUGUGUGUGCUUGUGGAUGUACGGUGGCAGGUAACCUAGUGGUAAGGUCUCUGGUUAAAAUCCCCGAGCUGACUGGGAGAACAAAUCUGUCGAUGUGCCCUUGACCAAGGAACUUAACCCUAAUUGCUCCAGUAACCAUGGUUGACAGAGGAAGAACAAUGAUUCCAAGCACCACCCUCCUUUUGAAGCUUCCAGUCUGUUAUUCGAACUCAAUCAGCAUGACAGAGUUAUCUCCAGCCUUGUCCUCGUCAACACUCACACCUGUGUUAACGAGAGAAUCACUGACAUGAUGUCAGCUGGUCCUUUUGUGGCAGGGCUGAAAUGCAGUGGAAAUGUUUUUGGGGGAUUCAGUUCAUUUGCAUGGCAAAGAGAGACUGCAAUUAAUUGCAAUUCAUCUGACCACUUUUCAUAACAUUCUGGAGUAUAUGCAAAUUGCCAUCAUACAAACUGAGGCAGCAGACCUUGUGAAAAUGAAUUUUUAUGGCAUUCUCAAAACUUUUGGCCACGACUGUACACAGCCAAGACAAUGCAGGAGUGGGUUCGGGACAAGUCUCUGAAUAUCUUUGAGUUGCCCAGCCAGAGCCCUGACGUGAAC
rnacentral:lncRNA from 1 species